GCCCUUGAUGAUGAAGAUUUUAUUUCCUAUGUUCUUGCUGGCUUGGAUUUUGAUUACAGUCCUGUUGUGUCCUCGAUUACGGGAUGCACCAAUUCUGUUAUUUUUGUGAAGUUUAUGCACCGCUGUUGAGCUUCGAGC
rnacentral:snoRNA from 1 species